UGCCUAUCAUGGCCACUCCACCUGGCCGAACUCCGAACACUUUCGAUUGUUUUUCUGAGAUACCUCCCUCGGCUGCUACACCGUCGAACCUCUCUCAGCCCUGCACCACUAGGGAUGUGCUAUUGUAGCACUCUAGUGCUCCUUGCCUCGACCUUUGUACCAUCCUGAGAUGUUCCCCAACCCCUCUAUCGAGACCUCCCUUGAGA
rnacentral:lncRNA from 1 species